AGAGAGCUGCAGCACAAAAGACACGCCUCCUGAGCUCUGCAGCAGAAAAGACACUCCCCUUUAGCUGCCAUAUUGAUAUAAAUCUAUCAGAGCGAUGAUUGUGGAGAUCUCUGGAUCCAUGUGAGAUACAGGGCUGGUUCUAGCUUUGUU